rnacentral:rRNA from 1 species
AAGAAAUAACAAUACGGGGCUUAAUGUCUUGUAAUUGGAAUGAUGGGAAUUUAAACCUCUUCCAGAGUAUCAAUUGGAGGGCAAGUCUGGUGCCAGCAGCCGCGGUAAUUCCAGCUCCAAUAGCGUAUAUUAAAAUUGUUGCAGUUAAAAAGCUCGUAGUUGAAUUUCUGCUGCAUUUCAUUUCUCUUUCUGAGUUUGUUUUUGCGGCUUAUUUCGGUUUGAUUUUUUCUUUCCGGAUGAUUACUUUGAGAAAAUUAGAGUGCUCAAAGCAGGCUUUUGCCUUGAAUAGUUUAGCAUGGAAUAAUAAAGUAGGACUUUGGUUCUAUUUUGUUGGUUUUAGGUACCAAAGUAAUGGUUAAUAGGAACAGUUGGGGGCAUUCGUAUUUAACUGUCAG